rnacentral:rRNA from 1 species
UACAGAGGUCUCAAGCGUUGUUCGGAUUCAUUGGGCGUAAAGGGUGCGUAGGUGGCGCGGUAAGUCGGGUGUGAAAUCUCGGAGCUUAACUCCGAAAUUGCAUUCGAUACUGCCGUGCUCGAGGACUGGAGAGGAGACUGGAAUUUAUGGUGUAGCAGUGAAAUGCGUAGAGAUCAUGAGGAAGACCAGUGGCGAAGGCGGGUCUCUGGACAGUUCCUGACACUGAGGCACGAAGGCCAGGGGAGCAAACGGG